ensembl:lncRNA
CUGUUGUUAUAAUGUUUUUUUUCUCAUCAAAAACAGACCUGGACUUGUGUUUUGUUUCAUUCACACAUGUUUUUUGAGCUUUUGAGUUCUUCUCUCAAACUGAAAACACUCUGUUCCACCUUGUGAUGUCAUCAAGUGGUAAUACAGGAAGUGCUCCAGUGUGUUUUUAAACUCCACACGCCUUCACGAGAAUCAUUUGGAUGAGUUUAAAUCUCACGAGAGUCACUUUUGUGUAACAUAUGACCUUUAAAUACAGACUAUUUAAUCUCUACGCUAUAGUAAGGAUUAUGAAACACCAGCAGGGGUUAAAAUUAAGGCCUGGUUGGGAGAUUAUUGUUAAAAUUAGGGUCUUUUUUGAGAAUAUUGUUAAGGGUAGGGCCUGAUUUUGAGAUUAUGGUUAAAAUUAGGGCCUGAUUUUAAGAUUAUGAUUAAGGUUAGGGCCUGAAUUUCAGAUUAUUGUUAAAUUUAGGGCCUGGUUUUCAGAUUAUUGUUAAAUUUAGGGCCUGGUUUUCAGAUUAUUGUUAAAUUUAGGGCCUGGUUUUCAGAUUAUUGUUAAAUUUAGGGCCUGGUUUUGGGUUGAUGGUUAAAUUUAGGGCCUGGUUUUGAGAUUAUGGUUAAGGUUAGGACCAGGGUGAGGAAACAACAGAGAUUUACCGCGGCGCUUCCUCUGCUAUAAUUGAACACGUGGUUUUUGUUUCACAUGUUCUCAUAUACGAGUGUGAGGCAUUUGGUAAUUUUACACCAAAAUAGGGAUUAUAUUUCACUCACGCAGCAGGCUAUGUUUUGGCAGAGUGGUUUGCAGUUAUUUUGUCUCCACGGGAGUAUUUACACUUAGACACUGGAGCAAACCAAACUGAAAAAUCCAAAAAAAUCCAGACCAAAGGAUGCAAGCGUGAAAAGACCAUAGAAGUGACUGAGUGAGUUUGACGUCACCCACAGCGUUAGCUCCAGUCAAAUGAAGCUCAUCGAGGCCAGAGCAGUUAUAGCGGCGAAUUUGGACCAGGAUCAUGUAGAGUCGGGUUAAUACGAACAUUUAAGACCAAAAUGACGAGUCUGACAGCAGCAGGUACAGAGAGAGACGACACAGUUUUUCAAUAGAAAGUGAACUGGAGCCAGAGUCGAUGGAGCAGGAAGUGCGCUCAUGAUCACUUCCUGUUUGGAACGUGGCGGCUAGCGGGUUAGCUGUGUCCAUUUACAUAAACAGUCUAUGGAAAGCACUGUUAGCCAGAUUAGCACACGCAGAUAUUGUAUUUUUCUGGUUAAAAACAUAUUUAUUUUUCAUUGUAACAUUAAAAACAUCACCCCCUGCUGGCGGUAUUUUACACACUGCAAUGAGACGUGUCUUUGAAGUACUACUGUCUUAACAUAUGGUCCUGAGAUAUAUGCAGGAAAAAAGGUCAAGAUAUGUAAAGUAGUAAAAAAAAAUAAUAA